AACCUGCCCCAUAGUCUGGGAUACCACUUGGAAACAGGUGCUAAUACCGGAUAAGAAAGCAGAUCGCAUGAUCAGCUUUUAAAAGGCGGCGUAAGCUGUCGCUAUGGGAUGGCCCAGCGGUGCAUUAGCUAGUUGGUAAGGUAAAGGCUUACCAAGGCGAUGAUGCAUAGCCGAGUUGAGAGACUGAUCGGCCACAUUGGGACUGAGACACGGCCCAAACUCCUACGGGAGGCAGCAGUA
rnacentral:rRNA from 1 species